rfam:Schistosoma mansoni, Puerto Rico, WGS project CABG01000000 data, contig: 0315
CUCCGGCUGACGAAUCCCAAAUAGGACGAAAUGCGCGUCCUGGAU